rnacentral:rRNA from 1 species
CCGCCCGUCACAUCAUGAAAGCCGGUUGUACCCGAAGUCCACUCUGCUAACCGCAAGGAGGCAGUGGCCGAAGGUAUGGCUGGUGAUUGGGAUG